rnacentral:rRNA from 1 species
AUUGAACGCUGGCGGCAGGCCUAACACAUGCAAGUCGAACGAGUGGCGGACGGGUGAGUAACGCGUAGGUAACUGCCUCAUAGCGGGGGAAAACUAUUGGAAACGAUAGCUAAUACCGCAUACUGUGCGAUGGACCUGCGUUGUAUUAGCUAGUUGGUGCGGUAAAGGCUCUCCAAGUAGACGAUACAGAGCCGACCUGAGGGGGUGGUCCGGCCCUCUUGGACUGUAUACAGGCCCAGACUCCUCCGGGCGGCAGCAGUAUGGAAUCUUCGGCAAUGGACGGAAGUCUGACCGAGCGACGCCGCGUGACUGAAGAAGGUUUUCGGGUCGUUAAGCUCUGUUGUUAGAGAAGCGUUAUCUAACCAGAAAGGGACGGCUAACUACGUGCCAGCCGCCGCGGUAAUAC